rnacentral:rRNA from 1 species
UACGUAGGGUGCGAGCGUUGUCCGGAAUUACUGGGCGUAAAGAGCUCGCAGGCGGUUUGUCGCGUUGUUCGUGAAAACUCACAGCUCAACUGUGGGCGUGCGGGCGAUACGGGCAGACUGGAGUACUGCAGGGGAGACUGGAAUUCCUGGUGUAGCGGUGGAAUGCGCAGAUAUCAGGAGGAACACCGGUGGCGAAGGCGGGUCUCUGGGCAGUAACUGACGCUGAGGAGCGAAAGCGUGGGGAGCGAACAGG